rnacentral:misc_RNA from 1 species
CUCUUUCCCUCCCGCUGAUCAUUCCCUUUCAACUACAACAUCGUCGUCUCCAAAUUCGCUUGCAGAUGGACUGGCAAGGGCAAAAGCUAGCGGAGCAGUUGAUGCAGAUUAUGUUGGUUGCAUUUGCCGUGGUGGCCUUUUUGACUGGCUAUGUUAUGGGAUCGUUUCGGCUUAUGAUCUUGGUUUACGCUGGCGGUGUGUUUCUCACCACAUUAAUCACCGUUCCCAAUUGGCCUUUCUUUAAUCGUCACCCACUCAAGUGGUUGGAUCCUAGCGUGGCUGAAAAAUACCCUAAGCCGCAACCGCAGGAGCCUUCUGUGGUUUUGAAGAAGAAACCUGCUAAGAAGUAGGUCAGUUUAAUUGACGUUGUUCUUGUAUUAACAUACAGUUCGAACCAUUGAAUUUCUUAUGUCCCUAAAAUGACGAUACAUACACUCGUUAUAUGGAUUAUAAUUUUGAAGGUUUAGAGAAUGACAG